rnacentral:lncRNA from 1 species
AUAAAGUGAAACUUCAGCUUUAAAAAAAAGCUGUUGUAACCAGAGCCCAUCUCACAGAUAAACACAGAAAAGCACUGUUGGCUGUAGCCAUCCACCCUCAGGAAUUGUGCCUUGGAAGUCACAAUAAGUGGCAGUUUGAAGGUCAUGAACAGGUUCUGUCCAGCUGUCUAACAGGAGGAGAAAACAGUUGGAAAUGUCACUUGAACCACCUGGCAAAUUCUAGGAGGCAUUCCACCACAAGGCUGAGGAUACAUUUUCCUGCGGGGAUGUCCCGGGAAAGGGAGAACACUUGAGAGGAAAUCAUAACACCCGCCAAAGCUGAAGACAAAUGGCUAUGAUUUAACCUAGAGGUUCGCCUACAGGCUUGUAGGCGAUUCCUACAGGCUUGAUUCCUGGAAGCCUUGCUCUUUUAAACGAAGCAAGAGACCCCAUGGCUCAGAAGGGAUUGCCUCAGUCUGAAAUGCUCACCAGCAGGGGUAAGGGCUAGCAGGUGAAAACACUGUCGGGCACGCUGGCUUGCCAAAAUCCAUAGAAAAUGAAAACUCAGCAAUCAAACUUGAAAUCACUUCUGAAAUUCCGGCCGUAAAAUCAAGAAGAGAGUUCACAUGCCAUGUUUUGGAAGUUGUCAAUUGGACACUAUAUUAUCAGGAAUUUGAAGCAUAAAGGAGGCUUCCAGCCCAUGCAGCCUGUUAAGGACUAAGUGGGCAGAGCUAACACUUCACUGGUGUGUUUGAAGAAGCAAAUUAGUGGCUUCUGGGAAGGUAUUAAUAAGUCACAGAGCAAAGAGG